GACGUAGGGGGCGAGCGUUGUCCGGAAUUAUUGGGCGUAAAGCGUCCGUAGGUGGUAAUUCAAGUCUGCUGUUAAAGCGUGAGGCUUAACCUCAUAAAGGCAGUGGAAACUGAAUUGCUAGAGAACAGAAGGGGCAACGGGAAUUCCUAGUGUAGCGGUGAAAUGCGUAGAGAUUAGGAAGAACACCAAUGGCGAAAGCACGUUGCUAGGCUGAUUCUGACACUGAGGGACGAAAGCUAGGGGAGCGAAAGGG
rnacentral:rRNA from 1 species